rnacentral:misc_RNA from 1 species
CGGCGACGGAGUUAGCGCCCUGGCGGAGGCGGACGAAGGUGAGGUCGCCGGAGGCAAGCUCGACGCUCCGCUGGCGGUCGAUGAGGUGGAGGAUGGCACCGGGGAUGCGGAGGAGGGUCUCCUCGACGGGAGGCGGGAGGGAAGCGGCUGGGGUGUCGUCGGCAUCGGGGAAAAGGUCGUUGACAAGAUCUCUCAUAUCGAUGGAGGGGUAGAGUGAGGAUGAGGAGGGUGGGGGGUUGGGGUUGAUGGGAUGAGGGGAAUUGAGUGAGGGGUAGAGAGAUGGAGUGGUAGUCUUGGUAUCGGAGAGGAAAGGGGAGUGGAGGUCGGGGUUGGAGUCGAGGACUUUGGGAUAGAGGGGCUGUUUGUG